rnacentral:rRNA from 1 species
AUCAAUGAGGGUGAGAGUCCUGUUUGUCAUGUGCAGCCUUCUGUGCACGGUGUAUAUUUGCUGAGUCACACUCCUUGGCAUUGGAAUGCAAAGUGGGUGGUAAGUUUCAUGCAAAGGUAAAUAUGCAAUUGAGACUGAUAGCGCACAAGUACCAUGAGGGACAUAUGAAAAGGACUUUGAAAAGAGAAUUAAAUGAGUUUGUAUUUGCUAAACACAAAGUAAACAGACUUGAUUUCCUCAGUGAGAUUGUAGUGCUUGCUUAACAAUGGGUUUUGGCUGCAAGUGCAAUAAUUCUUGCUUUGUGUGCCAGUUUUUAUGUGGACAUUUGAUUACCUUUGCACAUGAAUGGUAAUUUUCCUGCGGGGUGUGGAUUGCAUAUGCAUGUAAUGAUUUGCAUGUUUGUUAAAUGUGUCUGGUGUAUUUGUUUGUGUCCUUGUCCUUGAGGUUGCUUUCUCCCUUGGGCUUACAUGCCCUGGCACACACAUUCUGGCAAAAUGCUUCUGCUUGACCCGUCUUGAAACACGGACCAAGGAGUCUAACAGAUGUGCAAGUUUGAAGGUGGUAUACCUGUGUGUGUAAUGAAAGUAUUGGCUGGGAUAUUUGCACCAGCAGCCGACUAAUUAGCAGACAGAGGUUUGAGUUGGAGCAUAUCUAUUAGGACCCGAAAGAUGGUGAACUAUGCUUGAACAGAAAGAAUUCAGAGGAAACUCUGAUGGAGGUUCGUAUCGAUACUGACGUGCAAAUCGUUCGUCAUAUUUGGGUAUAGGGGCGAAAGACUAAUCGAACCAUCUAGUAGCUGGUUCCCUCCGAAGUUUCCCUCAGGAUAGCUGGAGUUGCACAGUUUUAUCAGGUAAAGCGAAUGAUUAGAGGAAUUGGGGACAGAUGUGUCCUUGACCUAUUCUCAAACUUUAAAUGGGUAAUAUGUAGUGGUUGCUUGAUGGAACUUCUAAAAUGAAUGGCAAUAUUAGGUGGGCCAUUUUUGGUAACCAGAACUGGCGAUGAGGGAUGAACCUAAUGCUGGGUUAAGGUGCU